GGCUCGGUAGCUCAGCGGUAGAGCAGGUGACUCUUAAUCACUUGGUCCAAGGUUCAAAUCCUUGCCGGGCCA
rnacentral:tRNA from 1 species